UACGUAGGGGGCAAGCGUUGUCCGGAUUCAUUGGGCGUAAAGAGCGUGUAGGCGGCCAGGUAGGUCGGUUGUGAAAACUGGAGGCUCAACCUUCAGAGGUCGACCGAAACCAUCUGGCUAGAGUCCGGGAGAGGAGAGUGGAAUUCCUGGUGUAGCGGUGAAAUGCGCAGAUAUCAGGAAGAACACCCGUGCGAAAGCGGCUCUCUGGAACGGUACUGACGCUGAGACGCGAAAGCGUGGGGAGCGAACAGG
rnacentral:rRNA from 1 species